UUUGGCUUUGGCAGCUCAAAACAUUUCACCUGAGAAGGACAGGAGGUGGCAUCAAACCUCUCCAAAGUCCUGUCACCUUUUUCAUGGGCAGGAUUUAUUCAUGCAAGUCUACAACCAGAGCUACCUCAUGGCUUAUGCCGGCGCCCACAUGCAGGUGUCAGGUCUGGCUUACCUUGUGCACAAUUAAACUCGCUUGUUACAGUGAAAACAAGUUCUCUUCAUCUCUCUCCUUGUGCAGAGAGAACAGUUUUGUUCUUCUCCAAGGGGGAUGUGCCCUUUGGUGACAUAGAUAACAGCUGGGAGGUGUAGAUGGCCUAUGCAGGUGACUUGAAAAUCAUUAGAGGAAGCUAUUAAUGAAAAUAAUUCUCAAAGCAUACUUCCAGGGGGCUGCAAACAACAAAGCAGGAGGUGUACCUGCACCGGGGUGUCAGGACACCAACCCACAGCCUUGUCAGACCUGACAGAGCCUUGUCAGGGUGUUGCUAUCCUGGCUGGGAUGUCAAUACUUUCUGAAUUGCACAGGCUUAGUUAGUCCCCCUGAGACAUUGCCUGGUUGGCAAAUUCAGCGUUCCCUGCAUCAUAGAUAUCUCAGAAUCGAGGUUUAGACUGGAAAGCUGUAAUUCCUUCAGCCACACACAACUGAGGAAAAGAAUUUAUUUCCUCUAAAGGUCAGAUCCUCCAUGAAUGAACUUCCCAGGACUUUUUGGCAGCAAGAGCUCUUCAAAAUGUCAGAGAAACAGCCCAGUCCCCAUUUACAAAGGGAUUGUUGCCCCAGGAAGAGUCUGCUGGGAUGGAAAAGGCCCUGAGGGACUCACAGCCACCUUCCUCCUCCCCACACUCUGUGUGGUGCCCUGGAGAAAGGGCCGUGCAGACCUUGCCAUGCCAGCACUUCUCCCGCCAGCCCUCCCAGGACUUGCCGCCCCUCGGCUGCAUCCAGUGCUUAUGAGUAAGGCACAGAGAGAGAGGAAAAUAAAACUCCUCAGUGCAGCAAAGCCCUCAAGUCCUUAGUCAACACUGAAGUGAAGCCUACGUGGUUUGGUCAAAAUCCAGCAGUACAUCUGUGGAAAGGUGGGAGCUGGAUCCAACCCUUUUCUGGCUUGGAUAGUAACCUGUAAUUAGACUUGUCAGAUGGUAAGACACCUAAUAUAUCCUUCUGCAAUAUUUUUUUAUGGGGAAUUAUAAGGUAGAAUUGAGCUGUGAGCUGUAAAACCUGCCUGCAGAGGCACAUGGCAGAACAAAGGAGCACAUGGCGGCACAGACAGGCUCUGUCUCCACCGGGCCCUGGGGGAAGAGGUGUCACAGGGCAGACCCCUACGAAGUGUGAUGCUGAUGUGGCAACACGAGAUAGCUCACACCAUAUAAGGAAAUAGUGUGCCUUAGAAAAGUGUGUAAAACCAACUCAGUCCUUUGAAUAAACGAUUCAGAUUCCCUGCCAGUCUGGGUCUGAGAUUCAGUCGCCGA